UACGUAGGGUGCAAGCGCUGUCCUGAAUUAUUGGGCGUAAAGAGCUCGUAGGCGGUUUGUUGCGUCGGCUGUGAAAUCCCGAGGCUCAACCUCGGGUCUGCAGUCGAUACGAGCAAACUAGAGUGUUGCAGGGGAGACUGGAAUUCCUGGUGUAGCGGUGAAAUGCGCAGAUAUCAGGAGGAACACCGGUGGCGAAGGCGGGUCUCUGGGCCAUCACUGACGCUGAGGAGCGAAAGCGUGGGGAGCGAACAGG
rnacentral:rRNA from 1 species